rnacentral:rRNA from 1 species
UGGGGAAUAUUGCACAAUGGGCGAAAGCCUGAUGCAGCAACGCCGCGUGAGCGAUGAAGGCCUUUGGGUCGUAAAGCUCUGUCCUUGGGGAAGAAACAAAUGACGGUACCCUUGGAGGAAGCCCCGGCUAACUACGUGCCAGCAGCCGCGGUAAUACGUAGGGGGCGAGCGUUAUCCGGAAUUAUUGGGCGUAAAGAGUGCGUAGGUGGCCAUGUAAGCGCGGGGUGAAAGGCAAUAGCUUAACUAUUGUAAGCCUUGCGAACUGUGUGGCUUGAGUGCAGGAGAGGAAAGUGGAAUUCCUAGUGUAGCGGUGAAAUGCGUAGAUAUUAGGAGGAACACCAGUGGCGAAGGCGACUUUCUGGACUGUAACUGACACUGAGGCACGAAAGCGUGGGGAGCA